CCUACGGGGGGCAGCAGUGAGGAAUAUUGGUCAAUGGUCGCGAGACUGAACCAGCCAAGCAGCGUGAAGGAUGACUGUCCAACGGGUCGUAAACCUCUUUUAUCAAGGAAUAAAGACAGGCACGCGUGCCUUUUUGUGUGUACUUUAUGAAUAAGGAUCGGCUAACUCCGUGCCAGCAGCCGCGGUAAUACGGAGGAUCCGAGCGUUAUCCGGAUUUAUUGGGUUUAAAGGGAGCGUAGAGGGGUUGUUAAGUCAGUUGUGAAAGUUCGCGGCUCAACCGUAAAAUUGCAUUUGAUACUGGCAGUCUUGAGUACAGGUGAGGUAUGCGGAAUUCGUGGUGUAGCGGUGAAAUGCUUAGAUAUCACGAAGAACUCCGAUUGCGAAGGCAGCUUACUAAACUGCCACUGACACUGAUGCACGAAAGUGUGGGUAUCGAACAGGAUUAGAUACCCGGGUAGUC
rnacentral:rRNA from 1 species